UGACAAGCUAGUUUUGGAACAGGUUUUAUUCGACGCAAUUCCUUAAAAGAGACGGUGUCCCAGAUCGCUAAUGUUUUAUCAGCACCAAUAGUAAUGAGCUGUGGUGCAUUACCAAUAACUCUGGAGAGCUCAACAGCAAUAACCCCACCAUCAUGAGCUUUUAAGCUGAGCUUAGGAACAAGCUCUCUUGAAUCAAGAGCGUUGUCUGCACUCCAAAGUACAAGCAAUCCGUCACUACCACCAGAAACUAGAAGAGACUCGCCAGAAGCAGCCAUGAAAUUCAUCAAACAAGAAAUUGCUCCCUUGUGACCUCCUGUGUAUCUUCGUGCAAG
rnacentral:misc_RNA from 1 species